rnacentral:misc_RNA from 1 species
GGUUCUAAUAUUGUUCAAAAUGUUCAUCCUAGAAACUCUUCAGAGGCUCAAAAUUCAAAUGGUGUCAUUUGUAGAUCUGGAAGUGCAAACCGUGACCGACAGUUCAGAAAUCAACAGAAGUGGCUCUUAUUCUUGCGGCAUGCUCGCCGAUGUACGGCUCCAGAAGGGAAAUGUUCAGAUGUUAAUUGCAUUACUGUGCAAAAGCUGCUGAGACAUUUGGACAAAUGCAAUUCAUCUCCAUGCCCAUAUCCUCGAUGCCAUCAUACCAGGAUAUUGAUUCAUCACAACAAGUACUGCAGGGAUGCAGUUUGUCCUGUUUGUAUUCCUGUCAAAAAUUAUAUAGAGGCACAAAUGAGGGCACACACUCAUCCAAGCUCAGAUUCUGGUUUUCCUAGCAAAUCCAACAAUGCUGGUGAUAAUUCAGCUAAAUUCAUUUCAAAAAAUCCAGCUGUUGUUGAAAUUUCUGAAGAACUGCAUCCUUCCCUAAAGCGCAUGAAAAUAGAGCAGUCCCCCCAAUCUUUUAAACCCGAUAAUGAAACUGCUGCUGUAUCUGCUUCUGUAACCACUGAUUCUCACACAUCUCAGGAUGUCCAGCAGCAAGAUUACAAACAGUGUGACACUGGUAUGCCAGUUAAGUCUGAGUACAUGGAAGUAAAGUUGGAAGUUCCUCUAAAUUCUGGACAAGGGAGUCCUAGUAAUAAUGAGAUGAAAAAGGAUAUCAUGGAUAAUAACAGCCAAAAGCCUGAUGGUGAAUCUGCUGUACAAGAUGAGUCUACUAGUUUAUCAAAGCAAGAGAGCGUCAAAGUUGAGAAAGAAACUGAUCCAGGAAAGCAAGAAAAUUCUGGACAACCUGCUGAUAAUGCAGCUGGAACCAAGUCUGGAAAGCCAAAAACAAAGGGUGUAUCACUGACUGAACUGUUCACACCUGAACAAGUCAGGGAGCAUAUUAUAGGCCUCAGACAAUGGGUUGGCCAGAGUAAGGCAAAGGCAGAAAAGAACCAAGCAAUGGAGCAAUCGAUGAGUGAGAACUCUUGUCAAUUGUGUGCAGUUGAAAAGCUUACAUUUGAACCACCACCAAUAUACUGCACUCCCUGUGGUGCGCGCAUUAAGCGAAAUGCAAUGUAUUAUACUGUGGGAGCUGGUGAUACACGGCAUUACUUCUGCAUUCCAUGCUAUAAUGAGGCUCGUGGAGACACUAUUGUUGUUGAUGGGAGUGCCAUCCCAAAGGCAAAGCUUGAGAAGAAGAAAAAUGAUGAGGAGACUGAAGAAUGGGUGUGUCAAUGCAUUGCCUUGCUUGUCGUUAUUUUGCAUGGUAAUUUCAAAUAAAUUGACUUACUUUCUUGUCCUAUGAUACUCAUGCAGUGGGUUCAAUGUGAUAAAUGUGAAGCCUGGCAACAUCAAAUUUGUGCUUUAUUUAAUGGUCGAAGAAAUGAUGGUGGGCAAGCUGAAUAUACCUGCCCUAAUUGCUACAUAUCAGAGAUUGAAAGAGGAGAUCGUAAGCCUUUACCACAGAGUGCGGUUCUUGGGGCCAAAGAUCUACCAAGAACAAUACUUAGUGACCACAUAGAGCAACGAUUAUUCAGGAAAUUGAAGCAGGAAAGACAGGAGAGGGCCAGGAUUCAAGGAAAAAGUUAUGAUGAGGUUCCUGGAGCAGAAGCACUUGUAAUUCGAGUUGUUUCUUCAGUUGACAAAAAGUUGGAAGUGAAGCAGCGUUUUCUUGAAAUUUUCCGGGAAGAAAAUUACCCAACCGAGUUCCCUUAUAAGUCCAAGGUGAUUUUGUUGUUUCAGAAGAUCGAAGGUGUGGAGGUAUGCCUAUUUGGCAUGUAUGUCCAAGAAUUUGGAUCGGAAUGUCAAUUUCCAAAUCAGCGCCGUGUCUAUCUGUCGUAUCUGGAUUCUGUGAAGUAUUUUAGACCUGAGAUUAAAGCAGUGACAGGGGAGGCUCUCCGUACAUUUGUUUACCAUGAAAUUUUGAUUGGAUACCUUGAAUACUGCAAGAAGAGAGGUUUUACGAGCUGCUAUAUAUGGGCUUGCCCUCCGUUAAAGGGUGAAGACUACAUAUUAUAUUGUCAUCCAGAAAUCCAGAAAACACCAAAGUCUGAUAAACUCCGGGAGUGGUAUUUGUCGAUGCUAAGAAAAGCCUCUAAGGAAAAUAUUGUGGUUGACUUAACUAAUUUAUAUGAUCAUUUCUUUGUAUCUAUUGGUGAAUGUAAGGCAAAGGUAACAGCUGCAAGGUUGCCAUACUUUGAUGGUGACUAUUGGCCUGGUGCUGCAGAGGAUUUAAUUUAUCAGCUUAACCAAGAAGAAGAUGGCAGAAAACUGAACAAGAAGGGAACUACCAAAAAGACCAUUACAAAAAGGGCUCUAAAAGCUUCUGGUCAGUCAGAUCUUUCUGGUAACGCGUCGAAGGAUCUGCUACUAAUGCAUAAACUUGGUGAGACAAUAUGCCCAAUGAAGGAAGACUUUAUCAUGGUUCAUUUACAGCAUUGCUGCACCCACUGUUGUAUUUUAAUGGUAUCUGGAAACCGCUGGGUUUGCAACCAGUGCAAAAAUUUUCAGAUUUGUGAUAAUUGUUACGAGGCUGAACAGAAACGUGAAGAAAGGGAACGACAUCCUGUCAAUCAAAGGGAGAAACACGUACUGUAUCCAGUUGAAAUCACUGAUGUACCUGCUGAUACAAAGGAUAAAGAUGAAAUUCUUGAGAGUGAAUUCUUUGACACAAGGCAAGCAUUCUUGAAUCUUUGUCAGGGAAAUCAUUAUCAGUAUGAUACUCUACGCCGGGCUAAGCAUUCCUCAAUGAUGGUCCUUUACCAUCUCCAUAAUCCAACUGCCCCUGCUUUUGUUACAACAUGCAGUAUAUGCCAUCUUGACAUUGAAACAGGUCAAGGUUGGCGCUGUGAAGUUUGUCCUGAUUAUGAUGUAUGCAAUGCUUGUUAUCAAAAGGAUGGGGGUAUUGAUCAUCCUCAUAAGUUGACAAAUCAUCCAUCAAUGGCUGAUCGUGAUGCCCAGAACAAAGAAGCUAGGCAACUAAGGGUUUUACAGCUUAGGAAAAUGCUUGAUCUUCUGGUGCAUGCAUCACAAUGCCGUUCCCCGCAGUGCCAAUAUCCAAAUUGUCGUAAGGUGAAGGGGCUUUUCGGGCAUGGGAUUCAAUGCAAGACACGUGCUUCUGGAGGUUGUGUUCUGUGCAAGAAAAUGUGGUAUCUCUUGCAACUUCAUGCUCGGGCCUGCAAAGAAUCUGAAUGCCAUGUACCACGUUGCAGAGAUUUAAAAGAACAUUUGAGAAGGCUGCAGCAGCAGUCUGAUUCACGGCGAAGGGCUGCUGUGAUGGAGAUGAUGAGACAGAGAGCUGCAGAGGUUGCUGGUAACUCUGGGUAACCAUUUUGUACAUAUUAAUAUGGUUGUUUUGGAGGUAAGGCUUCCAGAUAAAGAGGGAGGUAGACCAUAUGUUUCUCUGCUUCUCCAUUAGGCACUGCUUGGAAUUAAGCAGUUCAGGAAAAGUAGCAAGGCAUAGGUGUUCAGAAGGGAUAAGCAUACAAUAGUACAGCAUAUUGGUUUAUGAUCAUGACUGUUAGGGAACAAUUUUUUUCAUUUGUCUCCAGAGCUUAUUUUCCCUACAAAGAAAGCAAGUGAAAUUCAUCGGCCGCCGCAGCUGCCUACUUCAUCAUCAGCAGCUAACUAUUUCCCUCAAGAGUAUAGGAUUACUGAUGUGUGCUAGUCAGUGGCGUAAUUUGGUGAUUCUUUGAUUUUAUCCUCUUGUAUCAGUUUAAUGCCAUCCUUGGUGGCGAGUGUACUAUAAUUGUUCUAAUUUGUCUGUGAAUGUUUUUCUUACAAAGGAAUGAUGGAGGUUAGUUUUGUUACCCUCUCUUGCUCUUAUUAUUAUUUUUUUUAAUCCCCGCAAAUAUUUGACCCAUAUUGUCUUGUUAUUAAAAGUUGGAAGAAAUAAGUAUAUUCUGUAACUGCUGCAAUCUGAUUGCAUUCAUUUUCUUGUAUUUUAUAUAGAUUCUAUGCCCCGCAAGGUGCUUUUAUUUUUGGGUAAACUUUCCAAUUGGCAUUUGACCGAAACUGUG